CUCUGACUCAUUGUCCUUCUAAGCAACUCUGAAAGAUAGGCAUCACGAUAUGAUUUGGCUGUGUCCCCACCCAAAUCUCAUCUUGAAUUGUAGCUCCCAUAAUUCCCAAGUGUUGUGGGAGGGACCUGGUGGGAGAUAAUUGAAUCAUGGGGGUGGUUUCCCCCAUACUGUUCUCAUGGUAGUGAAUAAGUCUCACGAGAUCUGAUGGUUUUAUAAAGGGUUUCCCCUUUUGCUUGGUUCUCAUUCUCUCUUGUCUGCCACCAUGUAAGACAUGCCUUUCGCCUUCCACCAUGAUUGUGACACCUCCCUGGCCACGUGGAACUGUGAGUCCAUUAAACCUCUUUUUCUUUAUAAAUUACCCAGUCUUCAGCAUGUCUUUAUCAGCAGCAUGAAAAUGGACUAAUACACAUCACAAACCCAAUUUACAGGCAAACAAACUGAAGCUCAGAACAGCUUGGAGAGUUUUCCAGGGAACACAGCAGGAAGUACAGGUUCUACAUUUCCCUGACCACUAGGGGUUGGGAUUCAACAGCUGUGGACUGAGAACCUGGUCAGGCUGGAGUUGAGCUCUGCCUCUAUGGUGCUGAUCAUCUCAGAUGCCGACUCCCUGGUGAUGUGCACUUGGUCAGGACCAUCUGUGUGUAAAGCCAAACGUGAUGCACCCUGGCCCCCAUCAGCGAGUCAUCCCAUUCUGCCCCAUUCACUUUCACCUUGGAAUUUCAGUAAAAUAAACAGAACAUACUCCCUUUUCCUCCUUAGCUCUCUGACAAGCAGAGUGUGGUCCACAACACUGGGGGUGGGGCAGAUCAAAACAAAAACAAGGGCCAGGCAUGGUGGCUCAUGCCUGUAAUUAAUCCCAGCACUUUGGAAGGCCGAGGCAGGCAGAUCACGAGGUCAGGAGAUCGAGACCAUUCUGGCUAACAUGGUGAAACCCCGUAUCUACUAAAAAUACAAAAAAUUAGCCGGGCGUAGUGGCACGCACCUGUAGUCCCAGCUACUCGGGAGGCUGAGGCUACAGAAUUGCUUGAACAUGGGUGGUGGAGGUUGCAGUGAGCCAAGCUCAUGCCACUGCACUCCAGCCUGGGCGACAGAGCAAGAUUCCAUCUCAAAAAAAAAAAAAAAAGAAAAAAAACUGCCUUUGUAAAAGUUAAUUCAAAGAAGUGUUUUAGGUCACCCAGGCAUCAGAAAUUGUUGCUAGGCCAAGCGCAGUGGCUCACACCUGUAAUCUUAGCACUCUGGGAAGCCGAGGUAGGUGGAUGUGAGUGGAACUCCUGAGACCAGGAGUUCAAAACCAGCCUGACCAGUGUGGCGAAUCACGUCUCUACUGAAAAAUAAAAAUAAAAACUAGCUGGAUGUGGUAGCACAUGCCUGUAAUUGCAGCUACUCGAGUGGCUAAGAAUCACUUGAACCUGGGAGGCCGAAGUUGCAGUGAGGCAAGAUUGUGCCACUGCACUCCGUCCUAGGUGAUAGAGUGAGACUCAAAAGGAAAGAGGAAAGAAAGAAAGAAAGAAAGAAAGGAAGGAAGGAAGGAAGGAAGGAAGGAAGGAAGGAAGGAAGGAAGGAAGGAAGGAAGGAAGGAAGAAAGCAGGCAGGCAGGCAGGCAGGCAGGCAAGAAGGAAGGAAGGAAGGAGAGAGAGAGAGAGAGAAAGGAAGGAAGGAAGGAAGGAAGGAAAGGAGGGAAAUUGUGGCUGCGUCCUGUGUAUAUAAUCCCUAACUUCUAGUACUGUGUAUUCUCAAUGGUAUAAACACGUGCAAAUUUUCUUUGUAAUGUCAGAGGGGAUCAUUGUCACUUUUCUCUUCCACCACAUAUAAGAAGGAAACAAAUGAAAGUAGUUGUUGGAUUUCUCAUAUAAAUUAAAAGAGUUUAGGCCUGGGGCUGAGGCUCAUGCCUGUAAUCCCAGCACUUUGGGAGGCUGAGGCAGGGAGAUCACUUGAGUUCAGGGAUUCAAGACCAGCCUACGCAACAUAGUAAGACCCUGUCUCUAUUUAAAAAAAAAAACCUAAAAGAGUUUAAGAGUCAUACUUUAUUUAAAUUAAUGUAAAAUACUGGAAAGGAUGCAAAAGGUUGCUAAUUGAGACAUUCUAGGAGGGGAGGAAUACCCUGACUCUGCUCCCUCCUAAACAUCAUUUGAACCUGCUCAUUUCUCCCCAUCCUGACCCCAUUGACACUUGGAUCCUUCACCUGCAUCCCAGCUCCUCCUGGUCUCCCCAUCCCAGUCUCAUCCUCCACACAGCAGCCAGAGAAGUCUUCCUAAGUACUAAAGUGUCACUGUCCCUCCUGUGUUCAGAACCCUCUGUGGCUCCCCAGUGCCCUUGGGACAAAGCCUAUGUCUGAAGAGGCCAUUUACAAUUUGAUUCUUACAGACCCCCUCCAGCCCCACCUUUCCACACCUCUUGCUCUCAUUCAGGAAUUAAAUCCCACUCGGAGAUUCCAUCCUUGUUACACUCUCUCUUGCCUCAAGGCCAUCGCACACUCUCUUCCCUCUGUCUAGAAUGCUCUUCCCUGACUCUGCUCUAAGCAGCCUACUCCUACUCAUCCUUCAGCUCUUAUGGUGGACAUCCCCAUUCAUGAUGACCCUUUGCAACAUCCCCCAGAUGGAGGCUUCCUUUGGGCUCCCCAUACCCUCCCUUUGUCCCCCGGGGUCCCAUUUAUCAUGCUAUGUUUUAUCUGCCUGCUUAGUGACCUCCCCAUCCCCA
rnacentral:lncRNA from 10 species